AAUUGUAAAGGGUUUGACUCGAGAGCAGCACAGUAGGUGGUCUCUGGUUUUCCCCCUGUGGUGCUGUGAAGCGAUUCUCUGUGAAACCAGACCCUGUUCUUCCUGUAACUCUGUCCUCUGCACCUGCUCUCUUCAGCCAUGUGUGAUUUUCACCAUGAUUUACAUUAGCAGAAACAUGCUUCAGUGCUCUGGGAGUGUUUAUAGUCCUGUGAGUUUAACACUUCAUGACUGAGAGCUGCUACAGCAACUUCUUCACCCACAGCAGCCAUGACUUUAAUCCCCAUCUUCAUCUGGACCCUGAUCUUCUGCUCUCAAGAGUCCAUAGGUCAGGUGACUGUGACUCAGAGUCCUGCAGUGAAAUCUGCUCUUCCAGGAGACACCGUCACCAUCAGCUGCAGGACCAGUCCUGCAGUUUACAGUAACUCAAAUGGUCACUACUUACACUGGUAUCAGCAGAAACCUGGAGAAGCUCCUAAAUUCAUGAUUAAAUAUGUAAAUCAGCUUCAGUCUGGUUUUGCAGCUCGUUUCAGUGGUAGUGGAUCUGGAUCUGACUUCACUCUGACCAUCAGUGGAGUCCAGUCUGAAGAUGCAGCAGAUUAUUACUGUCAGAGUUAUCAUUAUAUCAGCAGCACCCACCUGUUCACACAGUGAUAUAACGCCGUACAAAAACCUCCGUCACUCAGUCCGGCUGCACAGAGACUGCACUGCUGCAGUGGGAUCUCCUGCAGGUGCUGAGUUGGAGGAAGUGAAACAGCACAAUCACACACUAACUUUAUACGUUGUGUUUUUUUUUUUUUUUUUUACAUUUUACUGUACAUCCUGUACACUACGCUACACACCCAACUUUAAAUGCAAUACAUGCACAGAUUUGUGUUUAGUUUUUGUCAUGUCUGCUGAUACCUGUUAUCUCCUAUACUUAAUUUAUUCUGUUACUGCACAUACUCCCUUAUAUCUACGACUGAUUACUUGCACACUUUGUAUAGUUUUUGUAUUUAUAUAUUUAUGUAUAUAUUUUUAAAUCUCAGUUUAAAAUUUUGUAGUCUAGGCUCUUAUAUUUCUUACCUUGCUCUCUUAUUAUACUACCCCUAUUGUUUGUUUCUACUGUGUUGUGUAACUGCUACUGGCUGCCAAAUUUUAAUCAAUCAAUAAUCCAUCC